UGUUUACAAGUUACAUUUUAUUACCUUCAAAAACCUCUAGGGGUUAAUCAGUUUCUUUCUUUUACAUUGAGCACAAAUACAAUUAUUUUAUUUUUUUAAGAACAUACAACUGACAUGGUAAAACACUGAACUCUGGGUUGUAUUUGUGUGACAGUCGUAAUUAAUAGUCAGUCGGUGGUAAUAGCUUCUAACUGGCUCUCAGUUCAAACACAUUAGCUUUUGAUCUGAAAUCAGCAUUGUCACAGUGUAGCCUGGUCCUACGUAGCCUGGUCCUACGUAGCCUGGUCCUACGCAGCCUGGUCCUACGCAGCCUGGUUAAUUACUGAUCAUUCUCAAAUACAAUAACAUGCUAUUCUCUGCAAGAUGAGCGUUAGAUCUUUUGAUUUGAAACUCUUUAUAUCAAAAUAAUUCUAAAAACCAUGUUCAAAAAUCUUGAAAUCAGACAGAGAAAGGUGUGGGUUGAAGUAGUCUCCUGACCACCCUCAAGCUAUCAGACAGAGAAAGGUGUGGGUUGAAGUAGUCUCCUGACCACCCUCAAGCUAUCAGACAGAGAAAGGUGUGGGUUGAAGUAGUCUCCUGACCACCCUCAAGCUAUCAUCAAAACAUUACAGCAAAAUCACAUUUCUAAAAUACACCAAGAAAUCAAUGUUCGCUCAUUCAAGUUCUUUGAUGACAGCCCUGGUUGGUGUUUGAUUGUCAAAUUUGUCUAUUGGACCUGCCAGUCUGAGGAAGUCCUUCCUUAUAAUAACUUUGUUAUACGCCACAAAACACAAUGGACCUCAUUACAUCUCUGAGUUGAGCUAUUUCACAUACAGAUAUAGAGAGCAAGUCAGUGUUGUUGACUGGGAAAGAGUUGUCCAUUUCAAAGCAUCUACAUAUUGGGGUCAAUCUACAGGAUUGGGUCAAUACCAUUCCCAGCAGACAAAAUGGACGUUGUCAUCUUCAUUUGUUUUCAUGACAUGAACUACAAUAUGGUAUGCUGUCAUGAACUACAAUAUGGUAUGCUGUCAUGAACUACAAUAUGGUAUGCUGUCAUGAACUACAAUAUGGUAUGCUGUCAUGAACUACAAUAUGGUAUGCUGUCAUGAACUACAAUAUGGUAUGCUGUCAUGAACUACAGUAGGGUAUGCUGUCAUGAACUACAAUAUGGUAUGCUGUCAUGAACUACAAUAUGGUAUUCUCCAGGAUUGGGGUCAAUACCAUUCCCAGCAGACAAAAUGGACAUUGUCAUGAAAACAAAUGAACAUGUCAUAAACUACAAUAUGGUAUGCUGUCAUGAACUACAGUAUGGUAUGCUGUCAUGAACUACAAUAUGGUAUGCUGUCAUGAACUACAGUAUGGUAGGGUGUCAUGAACUACAGUAGGGUAUGCUGUCAUGAACUACAGUAUGGUAUGCUGUCAUGAACUACAAUAUGGUAUUCUCCAGGAUUGGGGUCAAUACCAUUUCGAUGUCAGUCAAUUCAGAAAGUUAACCCAAUUUCAGUUCAAAAUGUUUCUCAUUGAAAAGCAUUGAAGAGAAUUGGAAUUUGAGUGUACUUCCUGAAUUGACUGGAUUUGAAAUGGUAUUGACCCCAACCCUGGCAUGCUCUAUUUCUUUGGCAACUACCAGUAAAUUAUAUAUAUAUAAAAAACUAAAACAGUACUUAGAUUGGAUCUAGAACCAUUAUUAGCUUGUUGUUAUAUAUGGUGUGGACAUUGUGAGGAAUAAUCUAGGAUGAACUGCAAAUUAUCCUGUUUAGAUAUCCUGUCAUUCACUAUCAAUAUUUAUUCAAUAUUCAAUAUUUAUUAUUACUAAAACCAAUGGUGACGAAAUAACAGUACACACUCAAUCACACAUACAUGCAAGUAUUUAUAAAGAAGCAAGCAAAUUAGUUUUAACAAACAUAAAACAAAAAGCAAUACAUACAAAAGUGUAUACUAACCUAGAGAAAAGAGGUCACU
ensembl:lncRNA